AAAGUGGCUUUUCUUGAAGCCACCCUUUCAAUUAAAAGGCUUUUU
rfam:Amazona aestiva scaffold_209, whole genome shotgun sequence.